GAAACACAGCCCAGCCUUGUCUGUUCAGAUUCUUCUCAGCCCCUCUAAGUAGCAUUCCUUCCUCAAGGGUCUGGGGCAGGAUCCCUUCUGAAAUGGGGGUCUUAUAACCUACUAUCAGACAAGUCUGCAUCUUGGGGCUUCUCCAAGGACCACUUUCCACCAGUACCUGCUUGUUCUGGUCCUCACCUUCACCAGCACAUGAACAUGGAGACUUAAGACUACUCUUGGCAGAUCUCUGGAGAUUUCCAGUGAGGUUCGCUGGCUGUCCAAAUACUGUCGUAGUUAGAAGAGUGACUUAAUCUUCUUCUGGUGAAAUGGUCAUUCCCUAUUGGCUGCUGAUGCGUUUGAAUUGGAUUGUUUCAGUGAUUUUGGCAAGAACUGCCAUGACCAUUCUAGAGAUGCAAAAAUUAACAUACAGAAAGACUCUUGCAAGCUUCACACUGGGAGUCUGUGGGACCGGAUGGGGAUACCUCCUCCGGACUGAGUCUCAACCCCAUCUGUGGAGGCUAUUUGGGAUCCAUGAAUGAGAAAGAUCCAGAAGGCAACUUCUUGAGUUUCUUCUGGAGAAGCACUUCAGUUUGAAAACCAAGUUACUCCUUUUCAUUGACCAUGAGAGAUUUAGACAAAAUACAUAGAAAAUAAACAACAGUCACUUGAAA